UACGAAGGGUGCAAACGUUGCUCGGAAUCACUGGGCUUAAAGGGCGCGUAGGCGGUCGACCAAGUCAGGGGUGAAAUCCUGCAGCUUAACUGUAGAAGUGCCUUUGAUACUGGUCGUCUGGAGGGAGGUAGGGGUGUGUGGAACUUCCAGUGGAGCGGUGAAAUGCGUUGAUAUUGGAAGGAACGCCGGAGGCGAAAGCGACGCACUGGACCUCUUCUGACGCUGAGGCGCGAAAGCUAGGGGAGCAAACGGG
rnacentral:rRNA from 1 species